rnacentral:rRNA from 1 species
GACGAGUCUCACGAACGUUGUCCGGAAUUAUUGGGCGUAAAGAGCUCGUAGGCGGCUUGUCACGUCGGGUGUGAAAGCCCGGGGCUUAACCCCGGGUCUGCAUUCGAUACGGGCUAGCUAGAGUGUGGUAGGGGAGAUCGGAAUUCCUGGUGUAGCGGUGAAAUGCGCAGAUAUCAGGAGGAACACCGGUGGCGAAGGCGGAUCUCUGGGCCAUUACUGACGCUGAGGAGCGAAAGCGUGGGGAGCGAACAGG